rnacentral:lncRNA from 1 species
GCCAUGAGAGAAGCCACCAAAACUACCUGGAGAAGAUGGAGGGUGUUGUCAUGUGUACUGGGGUCCAAUCUACAGCGCACAAAUGUUUUCUACCCCUUUGCAUCGAAGUUCAAACUUCUUCUUAGUAUCACCCCUUUCUUCCACUAAUUCUUCUCCUCCUACUUCCUCCUCAUCACUUACUGCUCCCUCUCCGAAUAAUAAAGCUGUGGGAGAGGUGGAGUAUUCAUCCCCACUACCUGCAGGUGAGCCAUCAGACGGCUCAGAAGAUACAUUCACUAACGCUUGGGCAGUGUGGGAUGCUGGAGAUGUGUCUUUUAGUCUGUUUCUCUCCGUCCAGUAAGGGAUGUACUUUGGCAAGGAAUCUGAAGAGAUUUCCCGGGUGGGCUCAUACUCACUCCCAGACAUGUCAAUUUCUCUAUCAGCAAUUAAUCAAUUUCCUGGUGUUUUUAAUAUUUUGUCAGGCUUGAGGAGUUAGUCUUAUCAUUUUUUGUUUCCCUCCCUGGAAGGAUUCUCC